GAUGAAGAACGCAGCGAAAUGCGAUAAGUAGUGUGAAUUGCAGAAUUCAGUGAAUCAUCGAAUCUUUGAACGCACAUUGCGCCUUCUAGUAUUCUGGGAGGCAUUCCUGUUUGAGCGUCAUUAAACCUCUCUCAAGUAUGAUUACUUGGAUGUGAAGGAAGAGUACCUUAAACUUAAGGAGUGUUCUCCUUUGAAAUUGAUUAGCAGAUGGUAAUGUUAUUAAAUCCCUGAUGUUGUAAGAAAUAACAGUGGUUUUGUAGACUAUUAUCUAGCUUUAAAUUAUAAUUUUUAUUAUGGUUGACCUCAAAUCAGGUAAGGAUACCCGCUGAACUUAAGCAUAUCAAUAAGCGGAGGA
rnacentral:misc_RNA from 1 species